UACUUGUUUCUAUAUACACCUGUUGACUCUGAAUGGUCUUCAGAAUUAUCAAAUAAUGUACCUGCAUUAUAAAUGCCCCCUCCUUUAACUUAAUAGUGUUCAUGCAUACUAAAAAACCAAACAUGGUGAAUUAUACUACAGGUAUAUACAAUAACUGUACCAGCCAGGGUGUUAAACCUGGCUUGUCCAAAAAAUACUGUGGGUGAUGUGUGGCAACUUACAUGGUGCUUGAAAUGAAUUGUCACAUGCUGACAAUUCAGCAUCUUUUCAACAAAAAUUAUCGAAACAUAUGAAGUAGAUAAUGUAAACAGCAGCUGACAACUUUUGAGGUAUUCACGAAAUAUCACAAAGCUUGCAAGUUGCUGUUUAAUAAAGAAAACAAUUUCUUAGGUCAUCCAUGGCCAUCUAGUUAAAAAGUGGCUGACGUCUAAUUUCAAGAGUGGCUGGUGCAAAAUGUACACUACUAUAACAAACAUAAUUUAAUUAUUAAUGUCAAUAAAUUUGAACAAAUAUGCUCAAGCAUUAAUUAAAUAUGAUACAGUACAUGUAUGCAGGGAUGGAUCCAGCAUGAUCUGGUAGGGGGGUGCUCUGGUGCCAACUGCCGAAUUGUGUCGGUCAUGUGUGCCGCCCACCCAUCAACUGCUGUAUUUGAAUUGUAAUUGUUCACAGUUCACUUAUCAUGUUAUUACUCAAAUUAUUGUAUCUCAUUUUGUCUUUUUUGCUUUAUCAUAAAAAAUAGCACCCUCCUGCACCCCCUCUGGCCAGGGCUAGGGGGUACACACCCCACACCCUCCCAGUAAAUCCAUCCCUGCAUGUAUGUGCACUUUCUAUAUUGUGCUCAGGUAUUUGGUGGAGCAUGUUGUUGGCCACGUUGAGGGAUCACAGCUCAAUUUGUAUUCACCAAUAACUUUCAGAAAGACAUCAUAAAGGACAAGAGAUACUAUAAUCUAUACUAGUAAUCCAUGCUAAAAUGUCUUCAUUCUUCAACAUCAUCAGUUGGCCCUGCCCUUGGAUAUUCAGGAAGAAGCCCUUUUUCAAUUCUAUAUCGAUAUCUGAACUGCUGUAAUUAAAAAGGAACAUAGAAUUUUUCACUGAGAGAAAAUCUGAUCACUUUAUAAUGUGCUGUUCUUUUAAAAUCGUCUCUAUCACCAGACAAUUUCACUUGCCAAGGAGAUAGGCAUGCAUGUCAAGGAGAUGGGCAUGCAGGCUAGUAAUACCAGCCCAGAUAUAAAAUCUGUAAAAACAGGCAAAUAACUCCUAAGUCUUCUAAAUAGUCUUUCAAAAGUAAUUUAACACUUACUGUAAAGAAAACUGAUCCUAAUAUUGGGGGACUUUCAAAAUUCAUUGUGAAAAUCAAGCUUUGGUGGCGCAAUAUCUUCCCCAGAUAUUAGACGCCAUUUUGGCAAAGGUUGAAUUGAGUAUGGUCACUUCAAUGCCAAAUAUCUCGAAAACUGCCGGGGGAUCCCGGGGAUCCCUCCAGCAGAUUUUUAGUUUAGACAUUUGUCUUGAUUUUUUUGCAAAAAUUACGAAAAUCGAACCAUGGGAAUUCCAGAUUUUUUAGUUUGAA
rnacentral:lncRNA from 1 species